rnacentral:pre_miRNA from 1 species
AGUGGAAUUGCUAGGUCAUAUGAUAAGCGUCCUUUUAACUUUAUGAGUAACUGCCAAACUGUUUUCCAAAGUGACUGUACCAUUUUUCGUUCCUGCCAGUCAU